ensembl:lncRNA novel transcript, antisense to KDM2A
GCCGAGCAGCUUGUUCCCAGAGCCGCUUUGCCCCUUGACGCUCCUAACCGGCUUACUGUGCUCCAGAAUCGGAGAUGGUCCUUUACUAUCAGUUUGGGGAAUAGGAUGGGCGGAGAUCCCCAGAUUCCUUUGGAGGUAGUGAUGGAAGCCUGCUCAGGCUCUCCCAGAUGGGACUGCAGCCCUCCUGAGACUCAGCAGUCAGCGUCAUAUCUGAGACUACCUUAGCUUCUGAAGACGAGGUCUGUUUGGAAGACAAAGCUACCCCAAGACAAGCACAGAGAAGUCAGGUCCAGAGCAUACCUGGUUUAUCAGCCGGUGGAGUAAGCAAGUCCCGAAUUUGAGGGUCCUUGAUUCCUACUGCCCACCGAAGAUCAAGGGUCCUGAGAAGGGGGCAGCUGGAGGUGCUGAGGGCAGAGACUGCAGACCAGGAGCAGCCUGCUAGGAGGAGGUCUUUCAGUCCUGCAAUGGAUGGAAUGAGACAUGUAAUAAUACACUGUUUCCCAGCAUACUCAGAGCCGUAACGAUCUGAGCAAAGUGAACAAACUUCCAGUCUAAUAGGAGAGAAGGACUAUGCCUAAUCUUUUAGUCAUCCAGCUCAAAGAUUUCCAUGGUAUCCUAUACUACAUCUUCUAGCUUUAGUGGUAAAUUGAUUGCUUAGUUCCCACCAGAGCAAUACAAGAAGGAGUGACUUCCUGUCUUUCUAAGAGCUCAAAAUGCUGAAGAGAACAAGGGCUUAUAAGGAGCUGACCAAAGUAACAUCUGACUCAAAUUUCCUCUUUAGUGGUUAUGCUGAGGAGAACUGCAGGGCUGGCAGCAACACUGAUUCCGUUCUCUUUGCUGUCCAUUGCAGUGAUUGGCCUGCCAGUCCAGAGUGCUGCCUGGGAGACUGACACUUAAGAUGGCCCUGGGUAAACCUCUUGCUAAGCAACAAUGGCAUGGGACUGCUGCCCUACACUGCCCUCCAGUGAUGCUAAGAAGCACUGCCAAUAAUGCAACUUUUCUUGCCCGCUUCUUCUGGGCCCCUGGAAAGACAGCGGCAGGGCUGCUCACUUACCUGGCAGCCUAUUGACGAGCCAUGUCAGUUGCUUUUUAGAGAUGUUGGUCCAACUGAGGUCAAGGCUGACUGGCUGCCUCUUGAUGAUGCCACUGAGGGCCUGGGGCACAAUGGCCUUACACCUACUCAAGUCAAUUUUUGUCCAAAGUCUCUUGUCGCAGCACCUGUGAUAGAAGGGAAGAGAACUCGCCUUCAUUAACUUGAUCAGUGGAGCUCCCAUCACAGGCUGCUUAUGGCUUCUGGGAAAAGCAGAGUACCUGGAGGCUCGUUCUUCUACAAGUGUACAGGGAUCACACCUUAUCAUUUUUUGCCUCACAGAAUAGGCAAAAAAUUGCCUUGAACUCUACAACAACUAGACGCUUUGCAAACCUACAUGUUGAUAGUAUAUAACUUGACCACUUUACCCUGAUUUAUUCUGGAGUGUUUGAGAACACAACAGUUGUUAGGGACCCAUAGCAAGCAACAGUCUAUAGCCCCUUCAUCUGUAUUAAAAUGGCAUGGUUCCUGCUGAAGUGUAUAUAA